GUAUAAUGAUGAUAUCCAUGCGUGUCAACUGACCCCGGUGCCCCCUGCGGCUGACAGCUGUUAACCAGCGUUCUGCUGGCUGAUGUGUCUGGGGCCGCAGGACUCUGGGGACGUGAUCAGAUCUUUACGCGGCUGAAUAC